UGCCUCAGUAGCGGCGAGUGAAGCGGCAAAAGCUCAAAUUUGAAAUCUGGCGUCUUUGGCGUCCGAGUUGUAAUUUGAAGAAGGUAUCUUUGGGCCCGGCUCUUGUCUAUGUUCCUUGGAACAGGACGUCACAGAGGGUGAGAAUCCCGUGCGAUGAGAUGACCCGGGUCUGUGUAAAGUUCCUUCGACGAGUCGAGUUGUUUGGGAAUGCAGCUCUAAGUGGGUGGUAAAUUCCAUCUAAAGCUAAAUAUUGGCGAGAGACCGAUAGCGAACAAGUACAGUGAUGGAAAGAUGAAAAGAACUUUGAAAAGAGAGUGAAAAAGUACGUGAAAUUGUUGAAAGGGAAGGGCUUGAGAUCAGACUUGGUAUUUUGCAUGCUGCUCUCUCGGGGGCGGCCGCUGCGGUUUACCGGGCCAGCAUCGGUUUGGAGCGGCAGGAUAAUGGCGGAGGAAUGUGGCACGGCUUCUGCUGUGUGUUAUAGCCUCUGACGAUACUGCCAGCCUAGACCGAGGACUGCGGUUUUUACCUAGGAUGUUGGCAUAAUGAUCUUAAGUCGCCCGUCUUGAA
rnacentral:rRNA from 1 species